UGUAAGCGUAUACCAAAGUUGUUGCAGUUAAAACGCUCGUAGUCGGAAUUUGGCAGUUCCGGAUGUGUGCACGUCGUGUGCGCGCUUUGCGGGAAUUGCUUUUGUGGGUGUGCGUCAGAUGAGGGCUGUUAAUUCGGUAACGUCUGUACGCAACCACUUUUUACUGUGAGAAAAUCAGAGUGCUCAAAGCAGGCAUUUGCCGUGAAUGUAUUAGCAUGGAAUAAUAGAAUAGGACUUAGUCUUAUUUUGUUGGUUUGUUAGGACCGAGUAAUGAUUAAGAGGGACAGUUGGGGGCAUUUGUAUUUCGGCGCUAGAGGUGAAAUUCUUAGAUUGCCGAAAGACAAACUGCUGCGAAAGCGUCUGCCAAGGAUGUUUUCAUUGA
rnacentral:rRNA from 1 species